GUUUCUUCUGCUUCGCAAGAGGUAGUUGAAACCGAGUGGCGAACGGGUGAGUAACGCGUGGGUGACCUACCUUCGAGUGGGGGAUAACGUCCCGAAAGGGACGCUAAUACCGCAUGACAUCCCGUCCUUGAACGGAUGGAGAUCAAAGCUGGGGAUCGCAAGACCCGGCGCUUGAUGAGGGGCCCGCGUCCGAUUAGCUAGUUGGUGGGGUAAUGGCUCACCAAGGCGACGAUCGGUAUCCGGCCUGAGAGGGCGGACGGACACACUGGGACUGAGACACGGCCCAGACUCCUACGGGAGGCAGCAGUGGGGAAUUGUUCGCAAUGGGCGCAAGCCUGACGACGCAAUGCCGCGUGGAGGAUGAAGGUCUUCGGAUUGUAAACUCCUGUUGCCAGGGACGAAUGGCUUCGACCUAAUACGUCGGAGUAUGACGGUACCUGGUGAGGAAGCCCCGGCUAACUCUGUGCCAGCAGCCGCGGUAAUACAGAGGGGGCAAGCGUUGUUCGGAAUUACUGGGCGUAAAGGGCGCGUAGGCGGCCUCUUAAGUUG
rnacentral:rRNA from 1 species